CAGGAGAAGAAGAGAGAGUCACACAGGCGUGAGAGCUCGCACUGGAGUCUUGCUAGUAAAGUUAGCUUAUGUUAGAAAACCAAUGCAGUGAAGUGAUAUUGUGUGUAUGUAUGUAAACUUUUAGAAGAUUCAAGGUGGAUACAGCGACAGCUAGUCAAAUCGACGUUCGCUUUGUGCCGUGGAAGUGAGUUCCGGAACUUUUAGUGAGAAUAGCCAUAUGUGGCCAUCCCGCCCACUCAUUUGAGCAUCGUUCCCGGAUCGUCAGUGACCCGACACAACUGUGGACUGUCGCGACGACGUCUCCACUCCAGCAUUACCAACACUAUGUGUGCCAUCACCACAGUGAGGAGGAGGAGGAGGACGCCGCCGCACGAAAUCAAUGGCGGGAGAAAGGUUUUCUGUCGGGAGAGGAGAGGAGACAGCCGAGUCUGAGAAACACACUCUUCUUCUGGCAGCAUUUGGCUGCGGCAGGCCUGUGAGGCCCGCUGGCUCUGAAGUGGUUUGGACAGUGUGCUGAGGAGACCAACACCUCCUCCUCCACCACCACCUCCUCCUUCACCACAUGCCUCAGCCGUUUACUCAUCUGUUCAUUGACUAAUGGAGGGGCGGGUCAGAGGUCAACUCCUGCACAGACAAACAAAUAUGCUCUUCUCCUGGCUCUCUUCCCUAGCGGGGAUAACUAAUUACCAUCAAUGGCCUUGAUUGAUAGUCAUUACUUUGAUUGGAAAUCAGUAACCGCCAUCAGUGCAGUUAUUGUUGAUGAAAAGGCUGGCUGUUUUAAUGCAUAUGAAUAAAGCUGAUUAUUUUUUGUCAUACUGUGUGCCAUAAGGUAUGUUUAUGUAGACAAAACUCACAUAUACCGCUCACAUUAUACACUGG
ensembl:lncRNA